AUUUUCGGUAUGCUUUUAGUCUCAUGUCAUAUAAACAUGGUCUUUUUUGCAUUUCUAACACAAAUUCUAUAUCAGAAUUCCAACCACACGGUUGAACUUCCACCAUUUUCCAACACUCGUUUCUAUUCAUUGAUUGCUUGCUUUGCGUCUUGCCCCACGUAUUGUUCGAUAUUUUCAUCUCCUUUUGCGCAGCAACGCGCGUUAACUGGAGUAGCCGCACUGGAAAAGCUAGUCCAAGACACACUGUAAUGCGCGUAACCGCGCGAACUUACUGUCUAAUGCUUCGCUUCGCUUGGCGUUCAGUGUGUCACGGCCUGAAGAACAGCAUGAGCAGUAUAUUUUUCAUGCCGAUGAUAUGU
rnacentral:lncRNA from 1 species